rnacentral:rRNA from 1 species
GACGAACGCUGGCGGCGUGCCUAAUACAUGCAAGUAGAACGCAGUCGCGAAUGGGUGAGUAACGCGUAGGUAACUGCCUCAUAGCGGGGGAUAACUAUUGGAAAAGAUAGCUAAUACAGCAUACUGUGAGAUGGACCAGCGUUGUAUUAGCUAGUUGGUGCGGUAAAGGCUCACCAAGGCGACGAUCCAUAGCCGACCUGAGAGGGUGAUCGUCCACACUGGGACUGAGGCACGGCCCAGACUCCUACGGGAGGCAGCAGUAGGGAAUCUUCGGCAAUGGCCGGAAGUCUGACCGAGCAACGCCGCGUGAGUGAAUAAGGUUGUCGGAUCGUAAAGCUCUGUUGUUAGAGAAGCGGUAACUACCCAGAAAGGGACGGCUAACUACGUGCCAGCAGCCGCGGUAAUAC